GAUGAACGCUGGCGGCGUGCUUAACACAUGCAAGUCGAACGGAAAGGCCCAAGCUUGCUUGGGUACUCGAGUGGCGAACGGGUGAGUAACACGUGGGUGAUCUGCCCUGCACUUCGGGAUAAGCCUGGGAAACUGGGUCUAAUACCGGAUAGGACCACUUCGUGGUUGUUGUGGUGGAAAGUUUUUUCGGGGUGGGGUGAGCUCGCGGCCUAUCAGCUUGGUGGUGGGGUAAUGGCCUACCAAGGCGUCGGCGGGUAGCCGGCCUGAGAGGGCGUACGGCAACAUUGCGACGGAGAGACGGAGCAGCCUCCUGCGGGAGGCAGUAGUGGGGAAUAUUGCACAAUGGGCGGAAGCCUGAUGCAGCGACGCGGCGGGGGGGAUGACGGCCUUCGGGUUGUAAACUCCUGUCUCCAAAGACGAAUGUAUGACGGUAUUUGGAGAAGAAGCACCGGCUAACUACGUG
rnacentral:rRNA from 1 species